rnacentral:rRNA from 1 species
GACAGAGGUGCCGAGCGUUUAGGCGGAAUCACUGGGCUUAAAGCGUGUGUAGGCGGACCGUUAAGUACCUUGUGAAAUCCCACGGCUCAACCGUGGAACGGCUGGGUAUACUGGCGGUCUUGAGCGGCCUAGGGGCAGACGGAACAAGUGGUGGAGCGGUGAAAUGCGUAGAUAUCACUUGGAACGCCGACGGUGAAAACAGUCUGCUGGGGGCCUGCUGACGCUGAGACACGAAAGCCAGGGGAGCGAACGGG